rnacentral:pre_miRNA from 1 species
AAUGCAAUUGAAAAAUGUCAGGACUGAGGUUGUGCUUGAGCUUUAAUUGAGCAUAAUCACGCUCUUGAUUUUUGUCAUUGUAAAAGCUCGACGAGUAAACCC